CCUAGGUAAAGUACCUUGCUCAAGGGUACAGCAGCAGUGUCCCCCACCUGGGAUUGAACCCACGACCCCCUGGUCAAGAGUCCAGAGCCCUAACCACUACUCUACACUGCUGCUAUAGAUACACGCUGACACACACACACACACAUACAUACACAUAUAUAAUUCAACAAGCAAGAGUAUUACUAUAAUGUACACUAUCAAAAAUAAAUACAAUACAAUCAAGUUCAUGUAUAAAGUAUAUCAUAUGGUCUCAAAUAUUUGCCACUUUACUGUGAUGUAUAAAGAAAACAAUUCUGCUGUUGCCUACGUUAGGUUACAAUAUUCAAUAUAGAAAACAAUACAAAAGGCAACCUUUUUUAUUUAAUAUAAUAUAUUUUAUUAAAAGUCAUACUGCCCUGUGAAGAACACUGUUGAAAACACUGAAUACAGCAUGGAGAUUACACCUAAACAUAUAUGGUACCAAAAAAAAAGAUUAAAUAAACAAAAACAAAAAAAACCUGCAAUAUUUGGAUGCCAUUACUUUUCUUGUAAAACUUAUUCGUUAAGUUACCCUUUUCCACUCUUUUCUAAACGUCAAUUAAACAAAUACGUUUCCAAGUCUGACAGCCAAUCGGAUCGCUCUGUUCUUCAUACCCGCCCACUCCGGGAUUUAUAAUAAAUAACCACGGUAUGUUCUGCUGCCAGUUUGCAGGGAGAGCUGAGAGGUGGUGUUUGUGUUGCAAUGCAAUGGGGUGUCGCACGUAUUUGCUUUCUUUGUAUUUGUUAUCGAUUGGUACAUAUGAAGCUAUAACUGGUAAGAAGACAUCUUGCUGAAAUAUUUUAUUUUUUGUAAAUUAAAUCUACAACACGAUUUUUUUUAAAUGUGUGUAACAAGGAGCGAGAAUGAAAGCAUGCAAGUGUAUUAAUCAGACACAUGACCUCGUGUGCCUCUGAUGUGCCUUUGAUAUUUUAACUAACUUCUUGAAAUAUCUUUCGUUUGUUUAUUUUUGUCUAAUUCUUAUGAUACACUGGUAACUUCUAUUCCAAUCUUUUUAACAUACAAACUAGUUUAUUUGAAACUAGUACUAAAAUUAAGUUAUAUUACACAAUAAUUUGGUAGAAUAUUGUUAAAUUGAAAUUGAUUAAAAAACUUUACAAGGUAAUCCUUUUAGGGUUGGGUUCAGUAAAAAGAAAAACAAGGUCAAUUUCUGACCCCUGUUCAACUCUGUUCAAUACAUGGCUAGUCAAGAUUUCUGUUAACAUUAGGGUUUGUGAACCCUUAGGGAAGGGUUUCAUUAAGAUGUGUGAAAGGGGACAAAAAACUGCUGCUGUGGAGAAUUACAUUGGAAAUGUCUGUACCUGCAUGCAGUUAAGAUGGACUGUGCUUGUAUGUGUAUCAAUAAAAAAGUGACAAUACAUUGUUUACCUUAUUGAAGUGUUUCCAACUCUCUCCUAAAAAGAACUUGUCUCCAAUACCAUGUUGCUAUCCAGUGUGUCAGUACUGUGAAUUGUAAAGUGUGUGUACUGUCAGGAGUCCGUUCCUUGGAGGCUAUGCCAGUGCCGGGCAUUGUUACAGCACUGAAAAUCUCGGGCAUCAAUCAAUCUUUAUUUUACAUAGUGCCUUUCAUAGUGGACCACCAUCACAAAGCAACUGACAUGGUUUAUUGAAAAAAUUAAGACUGGGCAGGAACAAAGACCAGGAAUGGAUUAGCCUUCAGGGACCAGGUCUGGGUACCACUGUAAAUGUCAGGGUAUUUCCAGGGGGCGUGGCUUGUCUUGUAGUUUAUAUAAAGACUUGCUGGAUGCUGUUCAUUAUGCAUCUCACAACUGAACAGUGCAGAUCGUCUUCUGAAACACUCAAGAUGCCAGCUCUACCAAACACAUUCUUUUCGGUAAGUCUUUUAAGUAGAUGCCAUCUAUGAAACAAGCAGUUAAGAUCAUUUGUUACAUUUAUAUUCCAUAUGAGAGCUUACAUUGUGCAUUGUAUACAUAUUAUUAUUAUUAUUAUUAAUAAAACAUUGUUUUAUACACUUACAUUUGAAUAUUGAGGACCUGUAAAAAUGACAAGGGUAUUUUUCAGUAAUUUCACAUGGUUACUUUUCCCAUCCACAGAUACAGAUAAUAGCAAUGGGAUCCUGCAAUGGCUGGAAAUGAAAUAAUUUCUCAGUACAAUAUACUGCUUGUUGAUUAUUUUGACUCUUGUUUAAAAGCUAGUAAAUGUUUAUCUGUUCUCUAUGGUAUGGGAUGUUUAAAAAUACAAAUAUACCUAAAAGAGGUGAGACAUCCAUUUGCAAUGAUACUUCAAUGCCUGAGAUGGAGCAUGUGCUAUCCUCUAAAAUGGUGUCUGGAAUUCCCCUCCAAGCUCACCUGGUACUUUCCUCUGGAAUUCCCCUCCAAGCUCACCUGGUACUUUCCUCUGGAAUUCCCCUGCUGGAAUUUCCCUUCACACAAUGGCAAAGACAAGCUGCCUAACCCAAAUGUCCUCACAUAUCCAACCCCAAUACUCAAGCCCACAAACACUCCACGUUGAUUUUUCAACCAGUUAUUUAUUUUUAUUUACUGUUUUGUAUUGUAGCCUAAUGUUAACAGAGCAACCACUCAAUGUUUUAGAGAAACAGUACACACAUAUUUGGGUUGGCAACUGCCCCACAUACACCUGUAACACCCAACACCCAGUGAAUGGCUUUGGUUUCGAAGCAAUACAUUGCAUUGCAAGUUAUUCAUUUUAACAAGUGCCCCUUAUUACCAUUCACCAUGCUGUAAAGAAGCAAGCACCCAAAGAAACACCUGCAAAGCCCACAGAAAACCCUUCUCAUCCCCUUUCGCAAGAAUAUAUUCAUGCAACUGCCCCUCAGGACUGGAGAGGGGACCAACUAUGCAGUUUUACAGUGCACGUGCAGAGGGCUUUGAGCACCUCAGUUUGACCCCAGGUACACAUCCCAUGACAUGCUGUAGCUAUUUUAAUCUAGUCGGACUGCGCAGUACGCAGCAUUCACUGAAAACAGAAGCAACCUUAAAAAAAAAAAAAUGAAGGCAGUGAUCUCUCGGGCAUGCCUCACACGCUAAAUUCACUUUUCUAGAAUGGAAAGGACUUGCCAGUCUCUAGGAACUACUGGGAAGAUGCCACAAGGCGGUGAACAGGAGACGCUACACAGCUGGUGUGGUUGAGCAUUGAAGCUUGGUCCCUGGAUUCAGAGAUCAAAGCGUGGAGCAGACAUUCGGUACGGCGACUUUGCAGUGCAGUACUGAGCUACUGGAGAGAGUUCAUUACAUACAAAAAAAGGACUGGAUUGGGACAUUGUCAGGACUGCCAGCAAGUUUGGUCCAGUUAGUGUCCACGCUGGCGUGUUGGGAGUACAGUAUUAGCCGACACUGAAAAAGUCUGUUUGAAAAGGGGGCUGAAUACGACGCGGUGCACUGAAGUGUAACUCAGAUUCCCUGGUCGUUUCCAUACAUUUAACGAAAGCACUGUAUGUAACGUGCUGAUACGAACCGAGGCACACCGUGUGCAACCAAGCUAAAGUUACAAAUUUAAAAAUAAAGUUACAAAUAUUAGUUACUUUGGAAGAUGGGACCACGAAGAAAGUGUGAGUGCCGAAUUGAUUUCAAGAUAUUCUUUUUAAAGGCACCGUUAAAGUUUUAAAGAAGACAGUGUUGAGCAGAUACACGCAGGACGGGUGGAAAGUCGGUUACCGAUUGUUUUUUUUUUGCGGUGGCUAAAAACUAUAAAGGCUUUAAAAAAAUGUAAAUGUGAUAAUGACGAAGUUUCCAUGGUUCUCUAAAACGAAUUAAAUACACCUGUUAUUAAUACUCAUCUAGACUAUGUAAACUGCUGUGCAACUGACAUGGGCUUUGCGUGUUGUGUGUUUACUAAACUUCCUAACGUUACGCUGUCCUCUUCAUUUGUAACUGAACAAAACGUUUCAUGCCGAGUUUCACACUUCUAAGACGAUACACUCCGUUUGAAGGUACGCGUUCAGGAUCGAGCUUAAACCCGACUUUCACAACUAAAAUACACCUAAAAUACAACUACGCAUGUUGAUGACGUUUUUGUAGGCACACUUUCUGCGUCGCUUUUACAGUUUCAGGUGCCUUGGUCUAUACUGGCACCCAGUGGAAAUGCGGAUUAAAGAAGAAAUGACGAAACGAUUUAAUCAAAAGGAGUUCGGGGUUGUUUAAUCCUAAUAAUAAUUCUCGUGCAUGUUCUAUUUUCAGGGAGUCGGCCUGGAGACUCUUAAUGAAAACUGGAGAGGAUCCAAUGACGGCUGCAGCACUAUGGAUAACUUCAUUUUCCUAACGGCUGGAAUUCUGAUUGGUUUAGUCCUGUCCCGUCUGUUUACAAGCACGCGUUCAUGGCUGGAGUUUGAUAACUUGAGAGGGCGCCGGAUUCCUCGUCUGUCAGUUGAAGAGACUCAGCGUCACACCGGGCCCAUAGUUAUUACCUACAGCUAAUAGACAACAUGAAAACAUGAAAACAUGUCACUUUUUUAUUGGCCUUCAAGACCUGCUCCAAAACCCAGCAGCAGGACCUAAACUUACUGUCAACUACAAAGAACAAAGAACUCAGGGACCGGACUCAGCAUUCACUGGCAAGGGACCGGACUCAGCAUUCACUGGCAAGGGACCGGACUCAGCAUUCACUGGCAAGGGACCGGACUCAGCAUUCACUGGCAAGGGACCGGACUCAGCAUUCACUGGCAAGGGACCGGACUCAGCAUUCACUGGCAACGUGUUUUAACUCUUAGUUUCAAAGCAGUUUGGCAUUGCACUGUACAGUAUUUUAUGCACGGUGUUAAGAUGUAUAUUUGUGGGAAAACGUUUACAGAUGAAUGCCAUUUAAACUGAUUGUAUUGGACCAGGUGCUUCGCUAGUAACCAGCGUGAGUGCUCCCAGCCCGCUCCAUCAGUGAGGUAGAGACUUGAAGCAAUGCCGUGCCUGGAGUGACUGAGCCUCCUCCAUCAGGGAAACACGCCCACCUGUGUGAAUAUAAUACAGUGUGCUAUGCCUAAGUGUAUGACUUUACAAAUCCAAUGGAUCAAAAGAACAUUCGACAAUACUGCAGCCCAGAGGCGCGCAUGACUCCGAGGUGCUAAAGGUGCUUAAUUUAUGAGUCUGACAAGCCGUGCAGCGCUUGGGUCUGACACGGGUGCUAUUUAUGUUGUACGGUUUUUUUUUUUUAAAAUAUGUAAUAUAUGUUUUAAAUAAAGUGUUAUAUUUAUUUUAAAUGUGUUGUAUAUGUUUAAGUUACAGUACGUGUCCCACACAGUAAUGUUUUAUAUAAAAUCCCGACGCUCGGUUUCCGAUUACAACAUUCAUACAGCGCUGGAUGAGUCGAGGUGUGUAACAUUACCUUCUCUGAGGAGGCUGUUGGAUCUGCAGGAGCGCUGUAGAGAACGCUGUCAAUUUCAACCUUUUUAAUUCGUCCUAUUUAUUUAUAAAAUAAAUUGAACAAAUACGAAUAUUUAACAAUAUUUCACUUUUAUAUUUUGUAUUACCUAAUUAUUUUACCGUUAAAAAAUGUUUAGCAAAAAAAAAAAAAAAAAAUCUUAGACUAAAAAAAAAAAAAAAAUCUAGAAAAAAGAUGAAAGACACUAUGAACGUUUUUUAAAAAUGUACUACGUAGCGUCAAAAAAACCGAACUCCCCAAGCUUGGGUACCACGAAGAUUUUCUCUGAACUCGCCUCUGACUCCUCUGCCCUUGUGUCGGGCAGGUCGGGGGUGUUCUGGGUGAAGUUUAGCACAGAUAAUGUUUGACAACGACUCGGUAUCGUUUACUCGACAUUAAGCAUGAACUGAAUGCCUUUACAGGAAAAAACAGAAAAUAAAAAAUAGAAAACUAACGAAACAGCUCCUGUGUGGAAUAACGCGGCUGCAAUUAUGAACAAAACAACGCAAGUAAUAUGUUCUAAUGUUUUACCGAGUAUGGUAAAGAGUCUACAACAGCACACAGAAUAAUUAAAAUCUACAACAAUUAAACUGAACUAAACUAAAAAGAGAACUGCUAACGCAUGGGUCAGAAGGGGAUUUUCAGCAGACGGGACUUUCUGCUGUGUGCUGUGCGCCAGCUCCCUCCCUCGUCUGGAUUUCCUGCCCAGGCCGGGCUUGUGACAGUAUAAAUGCUCAGUUCUGAGUCAGCUCUCUGCUCCUUGGAGCUUUGCAAUUUUCAGGGCACACGUUUCAAGUUUUCGGGCCAGAAGAUGCUCGGC